rnacentral:piRNA from 1 species
UCUGGAGUCAUGCCGGAUAGGGGUACAAU